CCAGGACGUUGAUAGGCUGGGUGUGGAAGUGCAGCAAUGCAUGUAGCUAACCAGUACUAAUUGCCCGUGCGGCUUGAUCCUAUAACUCAG
rnacentral:rRNA from 1 species